GUGCUCACUUCAGCAGCACAUAUACUAACAUUGAAAUGACACAGAGGACUUUAGCAUGACCCCUGUGCAAGGAUGACAUGCAAAUUUUUGAAGUGUUCCAUAUUUUA
rnacentral:snRNA from 1 species